rnacentral:tRNA from 2 species
GCCCCCAUCGAUUAUGGGUUAGGUUGCUGGGUUUUCACCCCGGUGGAGCGGGUUCGAGUCCCGCUGGGGGUAC